GUGCUCUGUUUGGCAGCACAUGUACUAAAAUUGGAAUGAUACAGAGAAGAUUAGCAUGGCCCCUGCGGAAGGAUAGCACUCACAUUCAUGAAGUGUUCCCUAUUUUU
ensembl:snRNA U6 U6 spliceosomal RNA